AUUGAACGCUGGCGGCAGGCCUAACACAUGCAAGUCGAGCGGAGCGGCGGACGGGUGAGUAAUGCCUAGGAAUCUGCCUGGUAGUGGGGGAUAACGUCCGGAAACGGGUGCUAAUACCGCAUACUAUCAGAUGAGCCUAGGUCGGAUUAGCUAGUGGGUGGGGUAAAGGCCUACCAAGGCGACGAUCCGUAACUGGUCUGAGCAGAUGAUCAGUCACACUAGAACUUAGACCCGGUCCAGGCUCCUACAGGAGGCAGCAGUGGAGAGUAUUGGACGAUGGACGAAAGCCUGAUCCAGCCAUGCCACGUGUGUGAAGAAGGUCUUCGGAUUGUAAAGCACUUUAAGUUGGGGGACGUUACCAACAGAAUAAGCACCGGCUAACUUCGUGCCAGCCGCCGCGGUAAUUC
rnacentral:rRNA from 1 species